rnacentral:rRNA from 1 species
ACGAACGCUGGCGGCGUGCUUCACCCAUGCAAGUCGAACGGAAAGGCCCUGCUUUUGUGGGGUGCUCGAGUGGCGAACGGGUGAGUAACACGUGAGUAACCUGCCCUUGACUUUGGGAUAACUUCAGGAAACUGGGGCUAAUACCGGAUAGGAGCUCCUGCUGCAUGGUGGGGGUUGGAAAGUUUCGGCGGUUGGGGAUGGACUCGCGGCUUAUCAGCUUGUUGGUGGGGUAGUGGCUUACCAAGGCUUUGACGGGUAGCCGGCCUGAGAGGGUGAUCGGCCACAUUGGGACUGAGAUACGGCCCAGACUCCUACGGGAGGCAGCAGUGGGGAAUAUUGCACAAUGGGCGGAAGCCUGAUGCAGCAACGCCGCGUGCGGGAUGACGGCCUUCGGGUUGUAAACCGCUUUCGCCUGUGACGAAGCGUGAGUGACGGUAAUGGGUAAAGAAGCACCGGCUAACUACGUG